UGGUGCGAUGAUAUCAGUACUAACACCGGAUCCCAUCAUAACUACGUAGCUAAGCAUGUUUGGGCGAGAGUAGUACUAGGAUGGAUGACCUCCUGAGAAGUCCACGUGUUGCACUUA
rfam:Lupinus angustifolius cultivar Tanjil contig_19565, whole genome shotgun sequence.